rnacentral:misc_RNA from 1 species
GUGAAUCAUCAAAUCUUUGAACGCAAAUUGCACUCUCCUCGGAGAGUAUGCCUGUUUGAGGGUCAGCCUAAAAAAAUCGACAUCCGUGCUUUUCCGCGGUGACGUUCUUCGGAAAAUUGGUUUUUUUAAAUCCUUUGGUUUAAGCGAUCUGAAAUUUUCCUUUUUAUUCCACGGACGUUUUUAAGAUUUUUUUCUUUACACGUUUAAGGUUUCGAUUUUUUUUAGACGUGGCCGUCAUAUUG